rnacentral:tRNA from 1 species
GGGCCCGUGGUCUAGAAUGGAUUAUGACGCUGGCCUGCGGAGCCGGAGGUCCUGGGUUCAAAUCCCAGCGGGCCCG